ACGGGAGGCAGCAGUGGGGGAUAUCGCACAAUGGGGAAACCCUGAUGCAGCGACGCCGCGUGAGUGAUGAAGUAUUUCGGUAUGUAAAGCUCUAUCAGCAGGGAAGAAAAUGACGGUACCUGACUAAGAAGCCCCGGCUAACUACGUGCCAGCAGCCGCGGUAAUACGUAGGGGGCAAGCGUUAUCCGGAUUUACUGGGUGUAAAGGGAGCGUAGGCGGCAUGAUAAGUCAGCAGUGAAAGCCCGGGGCUCAACUCCGGGACUGCUGUUGAAACUGUCAGGCUUGAUUUCAGGAGAGGAAAGCGGAAUUCCUAGUGUAGCGGUGAAAUGCGUAGAUAUUAGGAGGAACACCAGUGGCGAAGGCGGCUUUCUGGACUGACAAUGACGCUGAGGCUCGAAAGCGUGGGGAGCAAACAGGAUUAGAUACCCUGGUA
rnacentral:rRNA from 1 species